CCAAACCAUAUUUCCUCGAAGGAGAAUAAAAAAUCUAAACAAAGCCUCUCUUCCAUUAUUUGAUCUAGCUCCGCCUCCACCUCUUCUCCACCAUCUACACAUCUAUAUCAUCCGAAUAUAUUCGAUCUCGCGUAAACCUAAUUAACUCCUGCGAUCUCCACUGCUAACUCCUUUCAUCCUAAUAUAAUCUGAGCAUGCUUUUGAUUUUCUAUUUUUUGGUGUGAUUAUAUGGAAUUGAUUAUAAAUCAAAAAUAAUCAAGGUUACAAUUUUAUUUGUUUCAUAGACCUAAUUUUACAUUUUUUUUCUUCCAAUUAUUGAUGAUGUUAUUUUUUUGCGGAUUUGAUUUACAGGUAUUCCUCUCUGCCCUGCAGGAGGUUUUUUUUUUUUUUUUUUUUUUUUUUUUUUUUCUUAAACGACCAAAAGAUUUACACCCUUAUCAUAUGGUUUUGUUUUGGACAUUCAAAUCCUUAUCAUAUGGUUUUGUUUUGGACAUUCAAAAGUAAGCAGAUAGUAUUAGGUUUUCGUUCACCCUCUGUUUUAUCCUCUUUGGAUUGCGUUUUUAGUUUUAUGUAUUGACUUUAUCUUUUUAAUUUUUAAUGAAUGUUGUUUUUAGUGAAAUCAAUAACUCCAAUAGGUAUGAGCACCUUUUCUCUUAUAUUAGCUUUGUUUUUUGAUUGAUGUUAUUGAUUUUGUUGGAAGACGUUUAUAUUAGGACUUUGAUUGCAGACGUAAUGUUUCUUUAGUGAUGGGUGAACCUAAUGUUUGGGGUUUUGCCAUCUUUAUGUCCUAUGAUAUUACUAAACAUGUGAUUUCUCUUUGGUUCUGUUUCGUCAAAUCUUUCAAUUUAUUAGGUGGUAUUUUGUUUUGAGUUAGCAUUUGAUUCUAUCUACUUUAGAGAUAUACACAGAUAAAGCUCCCUCUAUUUUACUAACAUUCAUUAUUGAGAUAAAGCUUUUAAAUUGGUAGAAGUCUGACUGAGAUUAAUUAUGUUUUCAUUUUGGUUUCGGAUAUCGUAGCAAUUAUUGUGCAUCCUAAAUGGGGGUAAAACUCUUUCAACUUAUGGGUAGAACGUUGCUGUAAUGCUCGAAUUGUUGAAUCUGAUGAAAGACAGAUAGGAAUGGAGUCAUAGAAGAUUCUAUUUACGUUUUGGUUUCUUUAUAAUUUAUGUUAUAUGUAAUUCAAAUGCUAUUGAGUUUAAGUUGGUUCACUUGGAUUUCCUUUUGCAAGAUUUUAUUGACUGUUUGAUUGAGAGAACAAAUUUUGAAAGGACAUAAUUCAAUUUCUGGGUACAAUUACUAGAUUUUCUUUUCGAUCAAACGGGUACAAUUGGAAGAUUUUGUUGCAUAUUGUUUCAACGAUUUUUAUCAUGUGAAUUUAUUUAAAUGCAUGUGUUACUGUGAUACUAUGAGUCUGGUGUGUGCUUAACAGUUCUUGGGAUAUGGAAAACCAGAAUAGAGUAUUUAACUCAUACGAUCUGCCCACAGAACCUGAAGCUACUUUUUUUGGUGUUUUUGCAAAAAAGAUUCCAGUGGAAUUAAAGGUGCAAUACGGGUACUUCUAAUACAGUGAUUCACUCUCCUGAUGGAAAUUAUGUGCCCAGUUGUUAAUUCCUAACUUACAUGGGAGCCUGGAAAUGUUAGCCGCUCUGAUAUCUGCAUCAAACUCUACAGGGAAGCUAUCUUGAGUUCGUUUGUACCACUUCUUUUGUAUUCAUCAUUGGUCUUCGCAGACCAAGACCAACACCAUUACCGCCACUCUUUAGAAGAAGAAUUACAGAACAAGACCAACGCCUUUACCACUAUUAUUUUAAUUUUUAAAAAGUCAAAAAUUUGACUUAUUGGAGAACUGUACUAGAAGGAUAUUGAUUGCAUUGUCAUUAAUGUCAAACUGCAGGGUUUCUUUGGUGUUUAUGGUGGUUAUGAAAAUCAAUUUUUUAUUUGAUAAUAAUUUAUCUUUGUAGUUUUAACAUAUUUAAAUGGAUGUAGCUGCUAAUAACGAAUUUUGGACCACUGUUCCACAGAAGUUACACCACAUUGACGGAUAACACUUCUCAAAAAGUUAGCAAAAAGGGAGUCUACGUACCAGGAUUUUAACAUGCAGGUGUAAUCGGUGAUGAAAAACAGAUUGACACUGUCCAAAACUCUCCCAUGUUUGUUAGUUGAAGACCUAUUUGAAAGAUUAUGGGAGAAAUUCACAAGUACAGAUUACCACCAACCAAGCCAAUGGUUGUAGAGACCUUCUCUCAGUACCCACCUCUUGGACGUUUCGUUGUUAGGGACAUGAGGCAGACAGUUGUUGUUAGUGUCAUCAAGGAAGUUGAGAAAAAGGACCCAACAUGAGCCAAUGUUACCAAGUCUGCUGUCAAGAAGAAGUAAAGUGUUCCAGUAAGUACAUCGACUGUAGGAGAAACUGUUGGUGUCCAGGUGCGUGCUUUUCGUUACAGUUAGUGCCAUCACCGUAAUUAACCUUCAGAAUCUCUAUUUUUCUUUAUUGGUUUCCUGAAAGUUGCAAAGAUCUGUGACGGUGCCCAAAGUGCACCUAUGGCAUACAAAACAGAGAACGGUAAUAUGUCUCAGAAGGCAGGGAUAAUCCAUGCAGUCUACCAAUGCUCAUGAGUCUGCUACUGGUUAUCGUACACGUGAUUUUCCUUUAGGUGGAGCUACAGAAAAAUAAUAGUUAAAUAUGAACUUGAAUUACUAUAAAAAAAAAAUUUGUCUACUAAGCUAAUGUAUUUUAUACUACUUUUUCUCGUACUUAGUUUCUCCUUUUCAAUCUUAGGUUAUAAUGAACGCGAUCCCAACAACAAAAAUUCUGGAAGACUUUUCAAGAAACUUAACUCCAGUUUAGUAAUUUAAGUUCUUAGUUUCUCGCUUAAAUGAAAUGAUACAAAGUGGCUUUUAUGGAGUAUCAACGCCAAUCCACUUCUUCUUAGAAAGAUGAUCGGUAUACUUGGCUUCACAGGUACAUACAUUUCUCUUUUGCCUAUCCUAUCUAUCUUUGUAUUCGUUCAAGUGGAAAAUGAGUGCCUAUAGUGUUGAACUUAGAUGUUGCACUUUCUUUGAUCCUAAAGUCCAGGUUCUAGGGGCAUGCCAUUGUAGUUUUAGCAGAUAAAUGCAUUAUGCACGUGAGUUAUUUGGUGAAUUUAAUGUCGAUCUAUUGACGUUUUAUGAUAUGAUUGAAAUUCCACUUCAUGUCUGAUAUAUACACCUUUCCUUUUUUCUUUAAUAUCUAUAUGAUAUUAUACACAUAAUUAAUCUUACACAGAGGCAGAUAAAUCCCCCUUAAUUUCACUAACAUUUUUAUAUUGGUAGUCUAUUCGAGGUUAUGUUUACAUUUUGGUUUCGGAUAUUGCAGCGAUUUGUACAUUCUAAUUGUGGGCAGAACUUUGUAUGUAUUCACUCCUUUCCUAUCCAUCAUUUCUCUUUUAAGACAGACUGAAUAAUCUAAUGAUGUUUUUGUAUGGCUAUUUUUGAGAUAAUUAAGCUGCUUUUGGUAUGUAGAUUAUCACAUCAACAACUCAUGUACUCAUUUUAACAAAUUAACAUACAUUAUUUGUUUUUAUGCUGUGAUUGUGAUUCUUAUUCGUUUCAAAAUCGAGUAGCAGCAGCAUCCUUGAUAAUUAUCCGAACAGAGUUUGCCAAUGCAGAUUUUAACAAGUUAAGUUGUAUCGCCCCGGUUGUAUUAUGGUGGUAUGUGCAGGAACACAAGCACAGAGGUAGUCAUUAACGCCAACUGUCUUGGUGUUUAUACAAGUCUUCGAGAGCAGCCAAAGAGUAAUCUGGUUUUUAUACUGCAGUUUAGUUUACCACUGUUUUGGACUCAUCUGAUUCGUGAUAAAAUUUGUAACAUGUACGGGUGAACAAAAAAAAUUGAAAAAUCAAAAUUGAGUGAAUUUAAAAAUUUAUUGGACAUCUCCAGCUUGCUUGGAUUUUCCUUUUCGGAACAACUAUGGAUGCCAUGUUCUUUUUCUUGAUUUUUAUGAAACUAGACAUGAAUUUUUCGUG